AGCUACUCUCUCAUGCACUGAAAAAUCCUCUCUGUAAACUGGAGACUCUGUGGUUGCAGUAUUGUAACAUUAAAAAUGAAGGGUGUGCUGCUCUGGCUUCAGCUUUGAAACUGAACCCUUCACACCUGAGAGAGCUGAAUAUGUAUGGGAAUGACCAAAUGUGGGCAGAACGUGGGUUCCUAUUAGCUCUUAAGGCUGACAAACAUUACAAACUCCAAGAAAUAGUUCUGUGAUGUAUUGAAUUAUUAAUCCCAGGAGAGUUGAUGUGGAUGUGGAUGUGAUUUCUACUGGCAAUAGAAAGAAACAGUGCAUACGAUUAACUGACACUUUUUUAACCAGCUUUACUGUCUUUACUGUCUAAUGUUCCUUUAAACAGAAAAAAAUCUGAAUGUAGGUCUAAAACAUUAUUGUAUGUCUGUCUGUAUUUGCAUAUUUAUUUAUUUUCUAUGACUAAUUUGUUACAUUGCAUUUUUGAGGAUUAAUUUAAUACAAUUUGGAAUAAGGCUGUAACGCACUGUGAAUACUUUCCGGAUGCACUGUAUGUGUCCCCAAAUUGUUUUCGUCUUGAAUAUUAAUCUAGAAAUGUACAAAACAAAUUAAAUAAAAAAAUGAACGAGGUUUAAACUUUUGACUAG
rnacentral:lncRNA from 1 species